GUUCCUGUAGUUGAAGUCUUACAACAUUGGCUUUUCAGGCCAUUAAUCUUGGAGAAAGGCCAAGUAGGAAUU
rnacentral:tRNA from 1 species